UUGUGGGAUGAAGGAACGAUAUCCUCAAGCUUCUUUCCAUUAAAGAUGUCAAUGGCAACAAAGUGACACUUUGCGUGACCAUGCUUCCCAGUCUUGGAGGUGGAGACCUCAACAACCUAGCUCAAAGAUUAAACCAAAAUGAUUCUUCAGAACAUGCUGGACCACAAAGCAAUUUCUGGUGGCAGGCAGGAAUUAUUGAGUUUGGAGCAGCAAUUAGACAAUCAGAUGCGCAUAGUAAAACAAAGCAACAACAACCCAACAGGAAACACUCGCAUAAUCAAAUGAAACAAUAUCGGCACAGCUUUAAGGGAGUACCUAGAACUCAUCUAGAUGAGAUAUAAUUUGGUCUCAUUCACUUUGAAAACAAGAACAAAUACAACCCACGUCAGCACACACGCAUCUUAUAGCAUCACAUCCAAUGGCUAUAAAAGGUGAAUGAGACCAAAUUAUAUCUCAUCUAGAUGAGUUCUAGCAAAACUGCAGCUUUAAACUGAUACAAGAACAACUACUACUGAGUGGUAGUAGCUACAUAACCAGAAAUAGUUAUAGUACUUAAAUUAGCAUCUGAAACUGAAUAAAUAGUAUGCAUCAGCAAACUAUGAAAACUACCGACUAUGCCGAUUACUAAUUAAACUGUUCGUAAAUUCCCUGUAAAACAGAUAUAGACUUUAAUUAGCACCUUGCCAAAUCUAGCAGCGUUAAGAUUUACUGAAACAGGAUUCCUAAAAUUAAUUCAGGAGUGAGGACACAGUCGGAGCUAAUGAAAAGAUCCUAAGGCAUAGCGGUGGAUAUAGGAAAUCAAGGUAAAUUUGUAGCACCAACAGAUAUCAUGGACCCGUGUAUAUCCAUCCGCAUCUACAGCAAAGAAUGGUACUUGGACUUGUAGAUCUAACAACUUGCAAAUCUGCACCCGACUAGCACAGAUCACCGCAGCAGAUUCCCAUACGCAUCCAUCAACCAACCAGACAUAAGAGCUUUCCUAUGGUAAGAAUAGAUCGGAAAAGGCACAGACCUUGCAGGGACGGGCCUUGAUGACGAUGUGUCCACCCUUGCGGAUGGCGCCGGCCUGCUGAGGGUAGGUCUUGGAGGCGCCGGAGUCGGCCUUGGACUCGAAGUGGUGCUCAUCGGUGUCCGACAUCUCCGACGAUCCUCCUGGGUCCUGGAACAAGGAAGCAGCAACGAGGAGGAGGUCAACGAAAACAGGAGGAUGAGAAGGGCAAACUCGAAAUCGACUGGAUUUUCCGGCGGAUCUGGAUUAGCAAGGGGGGCGCUGCUCACCGGGGGCAAGUGGGGUGGUGGAGACGAGAUGCAGCGGCAGCGAGGGGCGGAUGGAUGGAUCCGGAGGCUAGGGUUCUUGGUACGCCUCACCUCCCAGCUUUU
rnacentral:lncRNA from 1 species